ensembl:lncRNA novel transcript
GCAAAGGACUGAACUCUGACCAACCAGAAGAAAGGAAAAACUGGAGUUCCUUUCCCCUAGUGAGCAUACAAAGGCUUUUCAUCCGCUGAACCCAGCGCAUCUGCUACCAUUUCCCUGGUCUCCGGUCAGAACUAGUGACUGUCCCAUAAACAGGUUCUGCUGGACUUCCAGUCAAGAUGGAGCGGGCCGCACACAUACAGAGCUGAACUUGUAUCGCCGUGUAGAUGAAGACAAACACCUUUAGGAGAUGGCAGAGAAACAAAAUGGGAAACCCUCAGGUCUCCAAAUGACUACACCAAGCAGAAUUGCCCCACCAGCCUGCACCAUUCAUUUCUAGACUAUGAGCAAGAAGUACACUUCCAUCUUAUUUAAACAACCA